rnacentral:rRNA from 1 species
UACGUAGGGGGCAAGCGUUGUCCGGAUUUAUUGGGCGUAAAGAGCUCGUAGGCGGUUGGGUAAGUCGGGUGUGAAAACUCUGGGCUCAACUCAGAGACGCCACCCGAUACUGCUCUGACUUGAGUCCGGUAGGGGAGUGGGGAAUUCCUGGUGUAGCGGUGAAAUGCGCAGAUAUCAGGAGGAACACCGGUGGCGAAGGCGCCACUCUGGGCCGGAACUGACGCUGAGGAGCGAAAGCGUGGGUAGCAAACAGG